GUUCGGUUAAUUACGGAUGGUCCUACUUCGGUUAAUUACGGAUGGUCCUACUUCCAUAUGGAUAGUCCUACGGAUAAGAAUCCUCCGGACUCCGGACUACGGAUAAAUCCUGCGGACUCCGGACGUAGGACUACUUCGGUUAAUUACGGAUGGUCCUACGGAUAAAUCACCUGGACCUUUCUUUGGCCCUGCGGACGUAGGACCCUGGACCUUUCUUUGGCACUCCGGACUGGAUCUUCUAGGAGUUUUCUACCUUUCAAUUCUUGACUAUCAAAAGACCUACGGCAAGGGGUUGAUGAUGACGAAGACUAUGUAAAAGAUUAGUAUGCGAAGCCAAGCGACUGUAUAUAAUCUAAAAAGAAAGGACUCCCUAGGACUUAGGUCUUUAUGAUUUAGAAGACUAUCAUUUAAGAGGAGCGCAAUUCAAUAUUCUUUGAACCUUCGGAAAAGAUGAACCGAAAAUCGAUUAGAUUAUGCUGAAGGAGGGAGCGCAAAGAGGACGACGGACUCCGGACCGGCUGGCCAGCCAAUAAGUUGCUUUCGAAAAGAAUAAGUUGCUUUGUCUUAGAAUAGGUUGAAUGAGAAAUUGAACUAGAAAUCUUUGAUGAACAAAUAGCGUAAGUAAUAGCAGAAAACCUACGGAAUAUACUCGUCCUCCGCGGUAGUGGUUGCGAAGAAUUCAGAUCCUUUCCUUACUUUAGAACGCCAGCGCCCAAGAAGCCUUUAUUUACUAAGGCUGGUCCACGUAUGGUUAGUACAAACCUCUUGAGAAGAAGCUGAUCUCGGAACUUUCCAUGAACUAUGACGGUAGACAAAGCUUUGUAUCUCGAUCUUCUUCUUCUCUUUCAAAAGAAAACCCUCUUCCAGUAUAUAAUAGCUAUUCAUACUCAUCUGGAUCUUUGUUUUUGGGUCCUUUUUAUUUGACUAUUCAUCAUAUUUUCUUGCAGACGAAGUCCUUAAAGAUGAACCGAAAAUCUUCUUUGAGCCUUCCUGAUGGAUAGUCCUUCGGACCUGUCUUAUGGGGCCUCAGUAGCUUAAUUCUGAAAAAUCCAUAUUAGCCUUCUCACAUUCCCUAAUGGAUAGUCCUUCGGACCAGUCAAUUAAUCCGUGGGCUUACUCAGUCGUCUCGCAAUAUUCUUUGCGCCUUUGUUUUUGGACUGAUUUAUACCUCAGGACUUUCUCAAGCUUAACUUCUUCUUCCAAAAUAUAUGAUAUGGAAAGGUGCCAAAGUGCUGGAUUUCUUGCGCUGACAUGUAUCACACUCUGAAACGUACUGCUUAAUCAAGUUAAGAAUUCCUCGCCAAUACAACUCAAAGGAAAUUCCUUUAUAGGUCCGUAAGUACCCGUCCCCCAAGCACCGAGUCAUGAUAAGUAUUAAGGAUAGUCGGAAUUAGGGAAGACUGGGCUGAGAAUAGCAAUCUGUCCUUGUACAGUGCCAUUAAUCACUGAGAAAUGCGGAUGUCUAUCGGUAUUGGCUUCUAGAUCUGACUGACCCUAUCUCUUUGAGGUACUCAUCAGCACUAACCUCACUGCUCACGAUGUCGACAUCAAAAAUGGCGGGAGCUCUUAGGUUGGCCAAUUGCACGUGGGGAGGCAUACGGGAUAGAGCAUCCGCGAAUUCUGAGGCCCCGGUUUGUACUGCACUUCAAAAUCAUAUCCAAGGAGCUUGGACACCCACAUCUGGUACUCCGGCUGUAUGACCUUUUGCUCCACAAUCUAUUUAAGGGACUGCUGGUCCGUUCUCACUAUCAAUCUCCGGCCCAAGAGAUAAGAUCGCCAACGCUGGAUCGCCAUUACACCAUUAGUUCUCUUUCAUAAGCGGACUUAGCUUGAGCGCGGGGUGAGAGAACCUUGCUGAAAAAAGGGUCUCUGUCCUUGGGUUAAUACUGCCCCCACUCCUCUUCGUUCCUGAGGCAUCAGUCUCCAUAAUCAAAGGAUUAGUUCAAUCGGGUAAGGCUAAAAGGCGUAGUCUUACCAUGGCUCCUUUUAACUGCUCGAAGGCUUCUACAGAAUCUGAAGUCCAGAUAAAAGCAUCAGUACCGGUCAUCCUGUGCAGAGGUUGUGCUAUUCUCCCAUAAUCAACUAGAAACCUGCGGUAGUAACUCGUCAAUCCUAAGAAACUUCGUAACUCACGGACUGUGGUAGGUUGGGGCCAUUCUUUUAUCGCCCGCACCUUUUCUGGAUCGGCUUCAACCCCUUCUUUAGAUUAGAUACCCAAUGCCCCAAAUACUCUAGACGGCCUUGAGCAAAACGAGACUGAUGAAAGUUGAGAAUGAGACCAGCGAAGUACAAUGAAAAGACUAAAGUCAAAUCUUGAAUGUGGGAUUCGAAAUCUGGGCUGUAGAUGACAAAGAAUACUAAUCAAAAAAAAGGCCUUAAGAUCAUUCAUCAAAGAUUGAAAGGUUGCUGGUGCUCAGACCAAAGGGCAUCACCAAGAAUUCGUAAUGCCCCUCAUGCGUGCGGAAGGCUGUUUUCGCUAUGUCUGCCUCAUGGACCCUUAUUUGGUGGUAACACCCGAGCGCAGGUCUCAUUUUGUGCAAAUUUUUGCUCAUCCAGAAAUGGAAGAAAGAAAGGGGAUUGGAAAUUGAGGAGAAAUUGUCAACUCAUUUAGCGCUCGAUAGUCAAAAAGGCCAACUCCCAUCCUUUUUCCUGACUAAUAGAACCGGGCUGGCAUAAGGUCCAUGGCUGGGACGGUCCCGCUUGCAGCAUUUCCGCCACUAACCUCUCAAUCUCAUCCUUUUUCUCUCUUGAGUAAGGCUCGAGGGAGUUUACGGACGAGAGGAGCGAAGCGGCUCAUUUCAUUCCUGAGAUCGAUGAUCUCCUUCUUGGGGGUAGCUGAUCAGGUCUUUCGAAGACAUCUAAGAACCUCGCGAUCAACUCCUGUAUCGGACUCUCCUCGUCCUUCUUAGACCUCUCCCCUUGCUCUUCUACCAUCUCUAACUCCGCUGUAAUCGUCCGUAAUUCCAACCUUCACCCUAGGCGCAAAGCUCAAAUACUUUGAUCCUUUGAACCUCCGUUAUUCAUAUGGAUAGUCCUACUUCGGUUAAUUACGGAUGGUCCUACGGAUAAAUCCUCCGGACUCCGGAUAAGAAUCCUGCGGACUCCGGACGUAGGACCUGUCUUUAUCAGGAGCGUAGCGAACAGCCGUCAACUACUUGAUAGUUAUCCUAUCUUUCUCCUACGCGGAAUCCAGAAUAGACCCGUCAGUAUCCGGACCAUAAACUCAAACAAGAAUCAAACUAUGUGAAUUUCUGGGAUAGGAGUUCUUCUUUCAUUGCAAUUUCCCGGCUUUUUUGCUUCUAAAUAGGACUUUUUCUCAUCUUGAUAUUCUACGAUAAUUGUCUAAUUUUGACUGAUUUUUUGUCUUUUCUUGCUACUUCCCUAUGGGCAAAACCUAGCAAAAUCAUGUAUUUCCCUCCGUAAAAACAAGGUGAUUCAAUCCUAAUUAUUCUUUCAUUCGAGUUAAUGAGUGAAUUAUUCUUUUCUUUGAUUGACUUUUCCGCAAGAUUCUUUGCGCCUUUUCCUUUUGGAUGAAUUUGAAUCUCUCGUCUGAAGACUCUCGUCUGAAGACAUGAAAGACGAUUUCUUUCUAUUCUCAUAUUUUUCUGAUUCUAUGAGAAGGUCAAUCGGUAAAGAGGAAUAUCAUAACUAAUGAGUCACUAGCUAGCCCUUUAAUCUCACUAUUUCCUCUGCGAGAAGAGCGGCUUUCUAUCUAACCUCUGACAAUCCCCGAACCCCGCUCCGCUUCUUUGCGCUCCGUGGGCCUCUUUCUUUAGACAUCUGUGGGAGGAUUAAAGGAUGAGAGAUCCACGAUCCUGGUGAUAUGAUAGCAGAAUAUACCUACCAUCUAUUCAAGUUACCACGUCCCUUGAUUCAUUCCUUCAACCCGGGGCCCCUCGUAAACUCACUUUUUCUAUUCAAAGCGGUGGGCCUGCGAUCCUAAGCGGAAAUCUUCGUCAAUAUUCUUUGAGCCUCUUGUUGACUUUCCGAUGUGAGCAUGAGAAUGGGGAAUGAAUGAAAUGAGAUUGAUGAGUGAAUUAAGAAGGAGAAGACCAAAGGCGAGAGCCACGGCCUGGUCUGAAACCGGCCGGAAGAAGGAGAAGAAAAAGCAUGUACAGCAGCGCGGACUCUCUUCAAUCAACUCGUAUUAUUCCAUUCCCGAAGGCUUUCUUCCUCCCUCUCGAUCCUAUACCCCAUUCCUAAUAGAACCCCGAUAUGAAACUACGAGGACACACCCGACUGGGCCAUAUGGCCAAUUAUUUUCAGAAGAAAGCAAAGCCAAAGAGACCUGCUUUUAAUGCUCGACGUCGACACGGAGGGCGUACUUGAGUACUGGACGAACAAACUAUAUAACUACCCCUUUUUAGUGCGCGAAGCCGAAGCCUCCGAAACUGAGAUAGAGGGCGAGAUUUUCCUAGGAUUUCCUCAUGAGCAUGACCCUUACUUGCAAGAAUCCACGAUAGACUAAUCAUUUUUGGAAUAUUUCCUCUUGCAGUUGAUUUGAUUUUCCGGUUCAAAAAUCAUGUAUAUUAUCAAUCCGACAUCUUGAUCGAUUUAAUCCCACAUCUGGAUCUCUUAAUCGAUCUGUCUUAAUCGAUUUCAUCCUAUACUUCUUGUUAGGUACCCCAUAUUAGCGGUAGCUGUAACCUCUUUCCUAAUCGAUUUGUUCUCUCUCUUAAUCGAUCUAGCUGUCUCUUUCCUAAUCGAUCUGUCCUAAUCGAUCUGUCUUAUCUUUCCUACUCCCUUGUUAAUCGAGAAAGCUAUGUAUGCUUUAUCUCCUUUCUUAAUCGAUUGUAUUUAUCUUAAUGGAUCUCUUUCUCCCUAAUCGAUCUGUCUUCUCAUAUUACCGCAAUAUUCUUUGCGCCUUUCUUUCUUUAAAAAGAGAAUUAUCUUACUUAAUGGAAUUCUCUGAAUCGCUUGUACUGGGGACGCUCAGAGGAGAGGAAAGGAAGAAAGAAGCUAGCUAUCGGAAACGAAAGAAUUCUUAGGACUGAUUUAUGAACAGACAGAAUUCUAUUGAUUUAGCGCCACGCUGGCCUCUUUAUGUGACUCAUUCCGAUACGGGAAGGAUCGCCUAUAGGCUCUCUCUCAUAUCUACCCGAGACAGUUGUUCCACUCCGGCUACCCUCAAGAGCGGCUUAGCACCGCAGAGUGGGAAGGGGAGCGGCUUAUCGCACCUUGUUUUCUCUUUCUUUAGCAGCUUUCGUCAUAGGCUUUCUUCUAAAUAGUAGUUUGAAGCCUAUCCUUUCUUCUUUUCGUACUUCAUCGAUCUUUCUUCUUAUGGCUUUCAUAAGUAGUAGUUUCAUAAAGAGCGAUGGGCGAAUACCUGAGACAGGAUAGACGAGAGAUACCCUUUGAACCUCAGAUGGCCCUUUCUUCCGAUUUUGCUUGAAAAGAUGUGAAUGAAUGUCAACCUUUGAAUGUGAUUCGAAUGAAAGCAAGGCUUUGGGCAAUUCAAAGACUUUCAGAUAAAUAGGCCUCGCUAGCUAGAGGUUCAAGGGCUUUCUACUAAACUCAGGCAAGAGCAACUUCAGCAAGAACUUCUGAAAGGCAUCAAAAUUCCAUUCUCCUUUCAGUUGAUCCUAUUCCAAAGACGCUUCGGGUCGAGAUUCGUCAACUCGGCUGGUGGUCUGUGACGCUUUCUUUCUUCCUCAACUGAGGAAUGCUACACAGAAUUCCUAUCUUCAGGGGACUCUAUCUUUGUUCUUGUCCCACGCGGACCUCGCUUCGUACUGGGAAUCUUGUCUCAUAUACUUUGAAUAAUAAAGAAGACGAGGGCUAGCAACUUCCCUUGAAGCAGCAACUUCCACUGCGCCUCCUUCCUCUUCCGAAACCUCUCACAGCUUUCGCUUCGCUAGGCUUGAUUUUGAGUGGAAUUGGAAUUCAAAUCAGUGGAAAGCGACAGCUUUUAUGUCCUUAGAUUCAACUACGGAGGAUGAGUAGGAGCAGUCUGAUCUUCUUCUUCCCGCUCCCUCCUCAGGCGCAAAGAAUCUUGCCUUUUCCGUCAUAUUAGCUUUCCAUUUGAAUUCCACUCAAAGUUGCAGGCGAAGGCGCAAUGAAAUAUGCGUGGAACUCAAUCUUGCUUGUUAUGGGACUGAUUUAUGGAACUGAAGCUGGUCGAGCCUAAUCCUCUUGGGCGAGACUCCUAUUGAUUGAGAUCCGUGCCUGCCUUUCGAUCCUUCCCCCUACUCUUAUGGCUUUCCGUUAGCGCUUGAGGUCCUUAGUGAGGUCUAAGCAAGAGAAGAAAGAAUGAACUAUAUCAUCCCCUGGAAAAGGUGCUCAGCCACUCUACGUUGAGGAAGAAAGGAGAGGAUCAAAGAAUUUGAGACUGAAAGGAGAGGAGUUAGGUGAGACCAUAGGGAAGAGGACAAAUCGGUGAGGCCAAAGGCCCACGUAGCGGUUGUGUCCGCUUGAACCAGUAGCUUUUUGUAGAAGAAGUUGCUUCUUUUUCUGCUAUCUGCCCAUGUGUAAUGAGAUACCCUUUUUCAAGGUGAAAGCGACCGGAUAAAUCGCAUGAUUCAGUACUCAAAUAGAGAGAAGGCAGAUUGUCCCCACUUCCAUCCACCAUUCGUCCAACUAGUCCUAGGCGGGUGGUUAGGAAGCAGAACACUGUUUAGGAAGCAAGUCUUGUAGGGGUAGAGACCCAUGCGAGAUCCACACCCGUGAAGGAAAGAAGGGCGAAUCAGGUUCCAUCCACAGCUCGAGAAAAGGAAGAGACCACCCACCGGGCAGUCCGAGGUUGAAGUUAGUCUUCUGGCUGGAAAUAAAGAAGGGGCUUGACCGAGUGAAAGAGGGCAUAAGUCUCACUGAGUCAAACCCGCAUGAAAAGAGUUCAAAAAAAUCUGGUCGAUUCCCUAUUCCGGACUCAUCUUCCUCCUUUAUUUACUACCUCUCUCUUCCUUCGGAACCUGCUCGACCCCCACGGAUAAGAUAAUUACUGAAAAAGAAAUAAGUAGCAUUCUUCUUUCGACUCCUUUUCAUCCUUGUUCAUAGGAUUUCGAAAUCAUAAAUACGAAAGAAUGAAUCGGAUAUUGGCGGUGCGUGCGCAUUUUGAUAUAGCUUCCGUGUUCUCAGCCUAAGGCGAGGCUCGACUGAAAGGAGAGUGAGAGCUUCUCGAAACUAAGCUACUGCAGCAAGAACGUCUGCCUACCUGCCUGCUGGUCUCGCCUUUGAAAAAGAGUUCUCUCAUAGUGAGAGUGAAAAGAAGAGUAGGAGUUAGAGACAAAUAAGGAUGCCUUGGUCCGUCUUCUUGCGCGUCCAGCGCAGCCUUCUCGUUCAGCAUUCUUCCUAAUCUCCUCUAAAUAGGGAAUCGAAUUUCAUCUAAAAGAUUAUGACAUGCCAAACCCCAAACUCAGAGUAUAAUGGAAGAAAUCUAUUCCAUGAUCAGACGGAGUGGCCCUAAACGGGGUUCAAGGCCCUUGAUUGGGAUUCACCUGCUCUGCUGCCAACCACACCUGGAAAUGGUGUGAUAGGUUCAAAGAAUAUUGACGCCCACGAGGCGUAAUAAGGGCCUCAAUGAACAAGAGGUUGACCACACAUGAAGGUCAGAAAAUGUUUCACCAUCUACUACGGUUGAAGAGAAAAGAGAUUGAAACCUAGUGUGAGGUCGACGAUCGAUUUGGCCAUGACGGGACCCGCGGCCAUCAUACUUUGAAUAAUUUGAAUAGGCCACCGAUUGCUUGCACUCUUGAAAGGCAGUCCUUUAAUGGGGAAUCAGUCUGGUGAUAGGGCCCAUUUGCUUAAAGGUUCCAUCCAUUGGGAUAGACCGCAGAAGGUCCAUUGCCCAAGGGUGGACCGGGAACAAGAGUCGUUGUCUAAGAUAGUUACCUAUGGCAAAGAUAGGACGUUUUCCCGCGCCUUCGAAGGUUUGGGCAAGUCUACCUCGUUCAGGUAUAUUAGUUGGAUUAUUACCGAGGGGGUCUCUGAUCAUCCCUAAGGAAAGACUCUCAACUAGGACCUAAACCCAAGUGGUAAUGGAGGGUAGCUCGAGACACAUAUUGAUCCACAAGGGAUCGGUCAAAGGCAAAUAGCCGAUAACCCGGCCAAAAGACCCGGUGUCUCAAUACUACCCAACUUUCCACGAGACCUGUAGAAAGGAUAUAGGAAUGCCCCGACACAGAAUAUUUGACGUUGCUGGUAGGACUUUGAGGCUUUCCAGUUUUCCUCCUAUCCACAGGCCGGAGGCUGUUGGGAAUUACCUUGAACGUAGGAACCCAUGAUAGGCCUAACUCCAAAGGGAGAGACCUAAGAAAGGGGAGGUAUUUCUCAGAUAGUGAUUUAACUGAAGAUGAAAUCAAAAUUGAGCAGGGAGUCAUAUUCCAAAUCGCUUUUCAAGAAAGCAACUUCUAUUUUGAUCUUUGUCUUUUUAUGAGUUCGCCUUUAGUAUGAUUCCGCUCUUCGAGAACUCUGAUGAUUCUACCUCCUUCUCUAGAAAGUUCAGUCAGGAAAGCCUACCAUUAACAAGUCCUUCGCCUACAUGGAUAUAAAGAAGUCCGACGGGUCAGAAUGACCUCAAUAUUCUUUCUCAUAUUUCAUUGACCCGUCCGAAGGACUCAGAAUUCCAUAGUCCAGGUGAUCAUAUAUUGGGACACUAGGCGGUGGGCUUUCUUCUUCUUCUUCUCCUUUAUCACGGGAUAGCUCUGACUUUGAAGCGAAGGAUUAAUGGAAAAAGGUUUGAAUAAAGACUCUCAUGUGUUAAGCAAAUGAUCUGAGAUCCUUUUUUUGCCUUUCAAACUUGUCUAUUUUAUACAUCUAUGAGUAAAAAAUAUAUCUAGUUUCGAACAAGGGUGGAUUUCCAGACAUCAUGAUGUAUCAUUCAUUUUUCAUGAAUCCGUAGAAUGGAUAGUCAUCCAAAUGAAUGAUGUGCCAAGUGGUGACACGAGGGAGGAUUUUCAGUCCUCUGCUCUACCAACUGAGCUAUCCCGGCCAUUUCCGACACAUUAUCCUUCUUUUAAUAGAUGACUUUGGUCUAUUAAGAAGAAAAUCAAAGGGACCAGAUGAGAGACGGGUUAAUAUGGAUAGUCCUUCGGACUGCCCUUUUUUUUUUGAUUUUGGAGGGGGAGCGGAGGCGCAAUGAAAUAUGCGUGAAUGAAUGAAUGCGCUUUCUUGAUUCUUACUUCAGAUUCCUUUAAGUAGGUUUAGAAGGCUCCUUUUGAUAGGCUUUCUCUCUCUACUCUAGUAAAGCUUUUUUUGUUGAGUAGGUUAUUGGUGGCGGAGAAGGACGUAGAAGGCAUCAAAAUGCAAUUCCUCUGACUUGAAACCGCGGAGUGGGAAGGCUUAGAGAAGAUCAGAAGAGAAAAUAGAAGAGAAGAGCUUGAAUUGAAAGAGAAGAUCAGACUCGAGUGAGGAAGAUAGAGAUCAAGAGCGGGAGAGAAAGAAGAAGAACAAGAACCUACUACUACUAAAAUCAAAGAAGACUAUAUAUAAAGGAGAGGCAAGGAAGAAUUGCCUAUCCUUCUACGUCCUCCUAAAGAAAGCCUAAGUCAGAAAGCCUAUCAACUAGAAAUCAAUGAACAAGGCUCAAAGAAUGAUCGGCGUCCUUUUGACCUCCGGAACCUAUUAGUGGAAUCUUUGACUUAGUGGAAAUUAUAAGGGGUCCAGAUGACUUGUUAAUGGAACUGAUUGUAGUAGGCGUCGGACCUUCAAAGUCAUUCAUACUAUAUUCACUUUCUGGGCUUGAGGCUAAAGAAUAUGAGUUCUCGCCCAAGACGGCGACUUUCACUUCGCUCAUAUUACAUUGAGCCUCUCACGCAAGUCAAAUUCUCUAAUGGAUAGGCCUCUACCCUCUUCGGAAAGAGAGCUGACCGGCGGGGCGGGGGUAGUUCGACUAACCGGGGUUUCAGGAGUUCCUCUGGGUCUCGACUGAGAACCUUUCCUGUCCAUGAAUGGGGAUUAUCUCGUUCAUUGCUCUCGUGCAUUCUUCUUGAGAUAAUCUAAGAUAUUACGGGGAAUCCUCUAGAAGAAACUGAAGGAAGGAAAGCUGCGGUGCGGGUAUAUUGAAUAACCGACAAAGAAAGAAAGCCACGUAGCGGUAUCUCGGGCCUAGAGGUUUGAGUACUCCAGAAGCAGGGGCUCGGUCUAAUUCAAAGAUCUGCUUCAUCCUAGGCUUUCUCUUUGGAAACUGAGAAUUAUGCCUCUGAGAUCCUAGUGCGGGUCGAGCGGCUUGAAUCUUGGACUCCUUUUAGUCGAGCUUCAACUCAUCUGGAGCUUGAUUUUUCUGUUGCAAAAGAAAGCGGAAAUCUUCAAGCAAUAUUCUUUCGCAAAUUCUUUGCGCCUCUUUGUCGAGUUAGAAAGGUUCGGGAUUUGAAUAAAUGAGAUGAGAGAGUGUUCUUGAAUAUAAGCUUUGCCACAACGAGAGCUACUGAAGAAAGAGCUGCUCCUCCUACUCUCGAACCAGGAGUCGCGCAUAUGGAUUAUCUGAUAUUAGAUCGUAUCGUAGAUUCAGAUUAUCUGACAAGGCAAGGAUUGCGCAUACGUUGCCUACCCGAGAGCCCUUGCCAGACUUCCAACCGCUAUAUCUUCGUCCCACGGCUUGCCAGACUCACAUCUUGAACGAAAACAUUCCAUUUGACAUGAGGGACUCCUAACAACACAACUAAGCUAUAGGGAAAGAACUACGCUACGGGAGAGGAUCAGUCUCGAGCAUAGCGAGAGGGAACCCUCACAUCUUGAUGUCAGACCAGAGGUGAGACUUGCCAUAAGUCAUCUAUUGCCUGACGAUGGCAAGCCAGAGCUGCUACGGCUAUAGAGCGUAUAGGAAGUCUAAUUUGAUCUAUGGCUCUUAUGGUUCUGAAAAGCUUUUUUCGAAUGACUGAGACCUUGAAAGAGCUGAGCGUAGAGAUGCGUCUGUCUGAUUAGUGAGUCCUUAUGGCAAUGUAGCUAUGCCAGAGUGUGGGAUUCUGAGCGUUAAGGGAAGCCUCUUGCUCGUCUGAGUGGGAGGGCUGAUGCCGGAUCGUCUGAUCGGAGUUCCUCUGUCCUGAGCCUUGGAUCUAGGGAUGCCCGAGCUCCUCCUGGGACAGAGCGUUCAUGUGCUUGCUUCACACUCUUGGCUACGACAGACAGAGUUGACUAUAGCUGUGCAUGCCAAUGGACUAGCCGAUAGGUAAGGAUAGCGCAUACGUUGCCUACGCAAUACUAUGUAUAGUCGAGUAAGCUAGCGUUCUAUCAAGUCUAGUACGAGGAGGAUCUUGCUUGGUAUACGAUACUUGCUAGACUAUGCAUUGCCAGACUCCGGCAAGACCGAAGAGUGCCACUACGAUAAGUAGAAUUAUGUAAAUACCGAAAAAAACUUGUUGUGGGAGCAGCCAAAAAAGAAGAGACAUUCAUUCAUUGAACGAAAGAAAUUUCGUAAAGUAAUUGAAUUUGAAUUAGGUCGUACCUUGACUCUCUCUGACUAGUGCAUUACAACAAGAAGAAAGCUGCAGGUAUUAAUCUUAGGCAAGAUUGAGGCUAAGACGGGGUUAUUCGCAAGGCCAGGGGCAGUAUCAAAAGAUAUAGAUCCCAGUCUAGAAAGAGAGAUAACUAAUUUGCCAACCAGUGGAAGAGCCUUGAACCCGCCCACUCCUAGGUAGGGUAGUUGGAACAUUUAUUGGCAUUAGUCAACCGGGAAUUUGUCCUCCUCGUAUUUCUCUAUCGACCAAAGAAAGAGAAGGUGCCCAAUCUAAUGCCCUAGUCUAUGUAGUAGCUGCCACCUUUGAGAUUGGUAAACUAGAAGAAAUACCAUCCAAUCCAGGAUUCAGUGCCAUCUGGGAUCCCACGUAGCGGUUGAGUACGACCCACUUUGUGAGUCUUGCAGACGAACGAACUCUUCAACGGGGUUGACUUUGAAGAAGAAAUCGAAAUACAAGGUUUAGCGGGUUGUUCAUCCUUUCCGUGCCCGUGCCCGUGCCCUCCCUAUAAAGCUAGCUUGGGAGGGGCGGAGCUGGCAGAGCCACCAGCGGCGAAGGGAUGGAGGUGGGUAAGAUCAAGAAAUUCCUUUGUUCAUACGUGCCGUAGGUAAAUUCAAUCCAAUCCAGGUUCGUAUGAUGAGGAAAGGGAGGUAAAGAAGCUGGCUAAGAAGAUUGGCUAAUUGGCCAAUCCGUUCCCAGUGACCCAUCUAAUUGAUUCGAUCCAGUGCAGAAAGAAGCGAGUGAGCGGCAACCAAUAUCGGACCUGGCGAAUAUCUGUCUCUCAAUCCCGGGAUGAAUGAAAGGAGGUGCAAUAUUGACCUAACCUCUCCUUCCUUUCUUCACUCUUUCUUUCUUAAUCGAUUUGUUCUCUCUCUUAAUGGAAUUAUCUGAAUCGAUUUAAUCUCCCUAAUCUUUCUUUCUUAAUGGAAUUAUCUGAAUCUCUUGUAUUUCUCGAUUUGAUAGCUUAAAAAGACAUCUUGAUCUAUUUUCUUGUUUAUAUAUGAUAAUCGAUAUCUUUGAUCGAUUGUAUUAAUCUCUUUCCUUUAUCGAUCUUUCUUUCUUGAUCGAUCUGAUAGCUCUUACUCUUAAGCGUAGCGACUCAGACCGCUAGCCUGAAUCAGCUUUCCUUUCAACUUCAUCAGCUUUCCCGGAUCUUUCUUCAUCUGCUUUUCCUACGCGUAGCGACUCUAUCUUUAUUGAGAGAUAUACCCGGGACAGCCUGAAACUCUUUCAGCGUAGCGGUAGCCGAGCGGUGGCUUCUCCCUUGCGGAUUUGGACAGGCUGAACAGGACAGGCCCGGCUCUCGGUCGGUGGGCUUCACCCGCUCCGUGGGUUUUCUGUUUUUCAGCUACGCGUAGCCUUCGAAUAUGAAUCUAAGGGCUCCGUAGGAGUUGAAAGGAGGGCAUUAAUGUGCAAAUGGUGUUUAUGAGUCCUCCGGACGACUCAAAACGAAUCAAUGAACAAGUCAUUGAAUAAAGUCAACUCAGAAUGGAACGAGUUCAAGAGGUCUUCAGACUCCGCUCCAAAAACAAAGGUCCUCAAUUCAAAGUUCAAACUCAAAAAAGCAGCGAAGGACUCAUUCAUUCCACAGGUUCAUAUGGAAUUUCAUGACUCCCAAUGACUCCUACGGAGCCUGAUUUUCCACUCAUUCAAUGCCUGAGGACGGACGGAAGUAGCUCGACCAUAGGAAGAGGGCCGUAGGACCACUCAAACUUAUGCUCCGCUCAUCUCUAGCCUUGUUUUGAUAUACCUUGAAUUCUUCUUCUCUUUAUUCAAUGAUCAUUCAAAGGCGAACUUUCAGUCUUGUCAACGCAUAUUUCAUUGCGCCUUCGUCCGGACGGAGCAAAGAGCGAAAAACUGAUAAUAUCUAUAUAUAAGUCAAGUAGCUUCUUAUCUUAUUAGAAUCAAAUUUCUGAGACCACUUAUUUAAUCAACUUCUUUCUUUCUUCUUAUUCAUGGGAUCAAACCCGGGAUUUUGCGCAUUCAAUGUACUAGUUCUUCUCUCCUAUCUCAUAUUGACAAGAAAUAGAUAGGAAGGAAGGAGGGCUCUCCUAUAAUCAGAGAAGAAUCAAGGUCAUCCUUGCACUCACUCCUUCCCAGUCGCUUCGCGCCUUCGUCUGCUAUAAGAAAGCCUUCUCUAAUCAGAACCGAAUCUCCUUCUCGGCUAAAAGUUAGCAGGAUUGAAACCACCGUCGGAGUAGAGUGCUCCCGGCCUAGGGCCAGCUAGGUGGGGAAUUGCAUUCAAACCCCCAUUUUUUUCACAUGAUUUGGAGUCAAACCCCUCGAGCAUCAUUCCCUUAACUCACAUUCAUUCACAUCAAGAAGCCGACUACGCGGUUCAGAGGUCGUCCUUUGCCGAAGCAUCUUGAUUCCUAUGAGAUUCAGAGUAAGCGCGGGUAGGACGAAGUCCGAAGCUAGCUUCGGAGCAUUAUUAUCCGUUGAGGAAGAAAGGGUGCGGGGCGAAGCAGCUAUCCCAAUACUGAAAGAGGGUCGAUCUAAUUCACCGAGACGGAGAGGGUAGAGAUCUGAAGUACUAUUAUCGGCAGUUCGUAUGAGAUCUUUCUUUCAUAGGUGGAGUUCUCAUCUCGGAUGAGGAAUGAAAAGAGAUUAUUCUAUUUCAAUAGAGUAGCCCACCCUUCCCAAGAGGUGAAAAAGACUAAAAGGAAGAAAGCCCCGAGGUUCGGAGCUGUCAAGCAAUUAUUCUUUUUGAAUAUCUACUCUGAUGAUCAAUACUGCUUUCCCAAGGCAAAUCUAAGAAGUUCAGUCAGAAAAGAGAAGAGUCCUUCCCCGCAAACCCCGUACUCAAAAAAGGCAUUUCAUACUCGACCAGGACUAAAGGGAAUGCUAAACCUUGCAAAUUCUAGAUGGACUCGUGAUAGAAUGCCAAUUGAAGUAAUGAGAGGCAGACGACCAAUAAGGAUUCGGCAAUUAGCUUAUCCCAUAGGAUCGACCUCUCCAGUACCAGUAUCGGAUCCACGGGCCAUUGAAUAAGAGGCAGGGGUAUUCUCUCUUUCAUCAGAGUCCCGGUCGGAACCCCAUCGACCGGGGAAGAGGAUAUAUAUAGGCGAGACGGAGAGGAGACUCGACCAAAGGUUCUUAAGUUCAAUAUUUAAGGAGAGAGAAGAGGAUAUAUAUAGGCGAGACGGAAGAGGAUCCCGAAAGAAAGAGACCUCCACCCUUGAGCAUAACUGAUUAUUUUGGAUUAGUUAUCUUAUAGGUUCAAAGAAUCAAUUGCAGUUUCAGAGGCGGGAAAGGGCCCUUGUUCAUUGAUUCCUCUUUCAUGAUUUCGUAUUCCGUCUUCCAUUGAAUCAUAUCUGAUAUCCGGAAUAUCCUAGAUUCACAAAUCAAAAUUUCUUCUUCUUUCUUCUGUCUUUCUCGAGAAACCUCCGCCCAAAGUGCGAGGUUUAGCCGUCAGUGGACCUAAAUAAAGGUGGACGCUCAGCCGGGGGUAAGAACUAGUUGAGGAAUGAAUAUCUAUAUAGUCUCUCGUUAUAGGAGUCAAUCUGUCUCGGAAUUGCUCAUUCUCAAUGAAUUUUUCUUUCGCAUGAAAAGGAAAUAAUAGAACCGAUAGGGAAUGAAUAAGAGUUAGCAUCAAGGAUCUUUCACUGAGAGUUCGUAUGAUCAGAAGAUCAGACAGGCUAGGCGUAAUUGAGUCGAGUUAGUUUAUUCUCUCGGAUUAUUUGCGGGAGAGAGAGAAGGACUUGGGGAGAGACCGAGUUUGAGUCUUCCCCAUGUUCUCAGUUAAUGAGAGAGUGGUCCAUGCAUUUCAUUCUAAGUUGAGACUGGACUGAAGGUAAAUCAGUACAAUAAGGGAAAGUGCAAUCUGCCUCGGUUUCGGAAGAGGAAGCUCGCCGCCCCUUGAUCAGAAGUUGCUCUGGCCCUGGCCUCUUUAUUUCAGUUCUUGAAUUAAUUCAAGGGAUUCUCCGAUCGGGCUAACCCGCAUUUCAAGACCAAAAGGUUUACAUAACGGAAGGGUAGAUUUUCACUCUCUGUCCUUGAGCCACGGAGUAUAGCAAAUCCACUCCGAUCUUAUGGGCUCACCUUGCCCGCCAUCUCUCUCCUUCAUCUGAAUGGGAUCGUAAAAUAAAGGAUCCGCAUUUCUUUGAAGAUCUCCCAUUAUUUCACUCUGAUUUCCUACAAAAAGGUCUGAAUCUGGGAAAUGGGGAAGUAGUCCUCAAUAAGAAGAUUCAAUCUAUUAGUUGAAUGAUUCUCUGAUCUUUUUCCGCUCGACCUAGUCCUCAUCGGAAUUCUAAGUCGACAGGCACAGGACAUCAAUCGUGACGAACUUAGUAGGGUGAGUCCCGUCUCAGACGAAGGAAGGGCAGUUGAAGGAGAAGUCGGCCCUGUCCCGUGUUCGAGGGAAAGAAUAUUAGCACACACCUCCCCCCUAAUAAUCCUACACAAAAUCAAAGACCGCAGAGUCUUUAGAAGUAGACCGAGUUCGCCUUUAUUGGUCGAAAGAAGAGUAAGAAUUCUCAGUUUAGCUUAUAUUUAUGAAGCGGAUUCUCCGUAUUUUUACCCAUCCCCGUCCUGCCCUCGCAGUAGUCCUUUCUCUUGUUCUUGAUUUGCAUAAAAGACAAGACCAUUUCCCGAACCUCAAUUUCUUUCUUGGCACUAUGCCAACCUAAAAAAGGUUAGAUAUAGGCAGGCGAGACCGUAAAUCUCUCGUACUCCAACUCAGUAUCCUUCCCCGGUCCGGGAAAGCUGCUUGCGAGCCUGCUAUUCGUCGAAUGAAAUACCUCCCCCCCCGAUCUUUUCUAUAUAUUCUUUGCACUCCUGUCCGAAGGACUCGCUCCCCUGCAGAUAAAUGCGCUUGUCUAAUCGACCCUCUUUCUCUUCCCUUUCAUACUUCUUUCUUCUUUCUCUGUCUCAGUCUGUCUUCUACACAGCCUCUGACCUCUACGUCCCCGGUGCGUAGGGCCGAUCCCUGCGAAAGAAAGGAUUUUGGAAGAGGUAGAUUCAUUCAUGAAAGGCAUAUUGAAUUGCGCCUUCGUUCAAUUCCCACGCCAAAAAGAAAGGUCCAGAUGACUAUGAAGGAGGUUCAAAGAAGAUUUCAUUGACUAUUCAUCCUAUUACUUUAAGAGAGAAUGAAAGAUAGUUCAAAUUGUAAUACGAUCGAUAUUACGAUAUCUUGAAUGAAGAAAGAGACUGUAACAAGGUCAGCCUCUGCUUCAAGGGUUCUGAUCCGGGCAAAAGGCAGGAGGAGCCAGGAGUUGUUUAGGAAGGAAUCCGAGACUGGGAAGGCGCAAAGAAUAUUAUAUUGUUGGAAUCAAUUGAUUAAGAAUCUUCUCAAUCCCCUAAUGGAUAGUCAGUCCGAAGGACGGGGGAUUUGAGAGGCGCAAUGAAAUAUGCGGGGAACGUGAAUUCCACCGAAUAUCUUCUUCCUUUCCUCGGAGGCCUUAUAGAUCGUGCUGGUGGGAGUUUGUCCCUAAUCCGGAUAAGGCGCUUUCUUGCUUAUUAAUUAGUCUUUCUUGCUUAUUCAUUCUUUCCACUUCUACUUCAACUGAAUUUCUUUGAAUAAAAGCUAGUUUCCACAGAAAGGGCUACUACUUACUGAUUUUUCUGAAAGAAGAAAAAGAAACUUUCUCCACCUCGGCCGCAACAGAGAUCCCGCAACGGACCACCCUGAUCCCGUAGCUCUAUAUCCUUAGUGGUUAGUGGAGAACAAGUCAAAUCACAUUACUGAAGAGAAGAUUAGUAAAUCAAUGUAACCUACUUAAAGGAAAAGGAAUUUCAUGAUUAUGCCUCCGUCUGACCCCCUCCUGAUUUUAUGGAAUCGGUCUUUUAUCUUAGAUAAACUUAUACAACUCCGUAUAAUUUGCCUUCGCACCUCUCCAACUCAGGAAUCCCUUUCUUCAAGAAAAGAUCGCGCAUCGACUAAGACGAGUAGAUAAAGAAUGGGAUAAAUAAAGAAGUUGUCACGCGCCUUGGUCAAGAGAGAUUGAUCAUUCCCGAUCGCAACUGAAACGGGGACGGAAGGAUUCGAACCUCCUUUGAUAGCGCCCUCACCACCGGGCCACGCCCCAUGACUAAUAUUGAGAAGGCAGGCAUAUUUCUCUUCAUCCUGGUUUGAACAAGUGAGAUUCAAACUUGAGACAAAAGGAAUUCAUCUGCUGACAUCAAUGAACAAGGCUCAAAGAAGAAAGAAGAGAAUGGCGAUCAGUAUUUGAGAAGAAAGAAUAUCCUUAGCUGCCGUGAGUUGCGUGAGAAAGAAAUAAAUAGGAUGAAUAGUCAGAAGGCGCCAUAAGACAGGUCCGAAGGUUCCAUAAGAGGGAUAUUGAGAAUUUGGUCCUUCAUUCAUCAAAUUUCAUUGAUCCUUCGCUCAAUUCACAUCCAUAAAUAAAGGGCUCUAAAAUCAAGGCGGCAAAGAAAAGGUGAAUAUGGGUAAUCGACAAAGGCGCCGGAAAGAUUCCAGCCUAUCUCUUCGCUUCCUUCUAUAUGGAUAAAGAAGUCCUUCGGACGAGUCAAUAAGGUCUUUUUUCGCUCAUCAUAAUCCUCUGGAAAAUUACCUUUGAAAUCCGAGUCCUUUCCUUGCCUUGAGUGAGGGCUUUUCGACCAGCAGGAAUCUCCUGCCGCAGCACUAAGCAGGCUAGCCGCCUAUCCCCCUGGCUCCUAGUGUGUGCCUGAGUGGAAUCCUUGACUUAGUGGAAUGAAUGAGUUUCCGGAGGUCCUCCGUUUUAGAUUUAGAGUCCUACUUCCUUCCAUAUGGAUGGUCCUACUUCGGUUAAUUACGGAUGGUCCUACGGAUAAAUCCUCCGGACUACUUCCUUCCAUAUGGAUGGUCCUACUUCUAAUGGAUAGUCCUACGGAUAAGAAUCCUCCGGACUCCGGACGUAGGAUAAAUCCUGCGGACGUAGGACCCUGGACCUUUCUUUGAUGGUCCUCCUAACUACGGGCUCCUUUGUCGAUUUGCGCGGAGCAGACUGAUUUCUUAUCGUAAGGGCAGUCCUCCCCUAAUUUCUUUUAUGGAUGUUCAUAGAUCCUUGCCUCCAGUUAAGGCUUCUAGCCUUCCUUUCGAACAUAUUAGUGGUCCGAAGGACUUCGGACGGAGAGGGUUCUCCGGACCUUUUUUAUCCACAGAUUAAGCUUGAUAAAUCAGUGUUAAGCUAUUUUAGUGGAAUGAAUGAGAUAUUAGAAUAGCGAAUAGUCCUUCGGACUGGUCUUGGUCUCUUUUUCUCUUGCUUCGUAGAUUAGCAUAUUUCCGCAAUAUUCUUUGCACCUGGUUGGGUUGGGAAAGCUUCCUCUUAAGUAUGACUAGAGAUCUUCCCUAUCCCGCCGAUCAAAGAAUUGAGUUAGCAUUCUUCUUUCUUCUAUUCUAAUAGAGUGAUUUGUGAUUAUUGACUUGCUCGCUUCGCCACUCUCCCUCUUGGCUGCUUCGAGCCUGUCCUGAGAAUGAAAGAGGAAGUCUGACUUCUGACUCCCGAGCCUCCUCUGCUGCUUAAACUGUCCUCUCCAACUCUUUCUCUAGCUUAGCUUCCUACAAAUCCCCUAAUGGAUAGUCCUUCGGACCUGUCUCGCAAUAUCCUUUGCGCCUCGCAAUAUUCUUUGGGCCUCAGUAGCUUAAUUCAGAAAGUCAAAUCCCAUGAUUCCUGCUACCUGCCCCUUUAAAGGUCUAGCUUCAGCAACAGAUAAUUACCUUGAAGCCGAAAGAGGGACGACUGGGACGAGGGAUUCCUUUGAUUAUGGAAGGAAGGAGGCUCCUAUCCGGUAUCGCUUUCAGUUACUCAUGCGAAGUGGAAGUCUUAGAGUUCCCUUGAACAUAGUGAUGAUCACUCUUAUUCUCUUAUUAUGCCGCUCCCUCUUCUCUCCGCAAUAUUCUUUGCACCUCUUCUCGUCCUUUGGAACCUCUCCGUCUCUUUUUAGUACUUCCUGCUUGCUGCUUUCCCGCCGAUGAAGAUGAAUUGGGAUUGAUUGAUAUAGUGCAAAUUGAGUUCUUUAUCAAUAGCCCUAUUCAGACCGCUCCGUGGGACCUAUUGGUAUAGCAGUUCAACUCCUUCCCGGUUAGCAGCUUUCUUUGGAACCUACUCUGAUGAGACUGAUUCCGAUGAUCCCGUAGUAGGUCGAGCCACUAUUUUUGCCCUUUCUUUUGAGUGAUUUAUUCCGUACCUAGGGAAGUCUUCCGCUUAUUAUGCUGGUACCUCGCCAACUCAGUUUAGACGUUCCACUCCUUGCUACUUUGCUCCACUUCUAACCCGGAGGGGGCGGUCUUAGUUCACGCUUGAGGCUAGUCUCUAGCUCUAGCUUGUUGGGUCGAGCGGUCCCUCUGUAGGUAAGUAGGUCGAGCGCCUUUGUCCCUGAAAGGUUGAGGUAGUCUUUCCCUUUUAUAGAGUGAUUGCUUUGCUCCCUCUUCUGUGAUGAUUCUAAACGGAGACUUGAUCUUCCUCGUCAAGGAGCAUAACUCAAGAUUAUGCAGCAAGGGGACUCCCAUUGGUAUCGCUUCCUCGAGAUCCUUACCUUUUUCAAUGAAUGGAAGAUGCAAGAACAACUGAAGCGGGUGCCUGUCGGCCUACUUUACCUUCUUUUUCCUGUGAAUUUGAUCCAAUCCAAGGCGGAAUCCAUCCCAGAGUUCUUUCUACAAAAUAGCUAAAAUCAAAGCUCCAGAUGAGUUUCAGUUCAAAGAAAGGAUAACCUUUGACGAAGACCUUUCCGAUCAUUUGGCCUAAGGCCGAUUGAUCUAUUUUCUAUCCAUCCACUAGUGUGACAAAGACAGAGAUUUGACUCCUGCUUCCCAGCAAAAUGCUCAUUCAAAGGAGUAAACGAGGAAAUCGGGAUCCUUUUCUCUGAGAAGGAAGACCAUACUACAGACCGCCCGCUUAGGGGUUGGCGCCGUAGAGCAGGAGGACGGUCGAUCUUUCGUUAUCGGGUGAAUCUUGAAGUUCUCAUUCUCUCUUUCGAGUCAUUGGAGAGGCGCGAAGAUGCUCGACCGGUUCUAAUCGUAUGAUCUCUUUAUCAUGGCACAGAUGCAUUUGCUUGGGCGCAGCUGCUCAAGAAAAAGUGCUCAAGCUUUAGUGUAGAACAUUGUCUGAAGAGCUCACUGAAAGGGAUAAGACUUUCUUCUCGGAGAAGAAGUGAACGAGACCCGUAGCUUACUCCAGCGGGAGCAAGACGGACUGGGGCUCUGAGAGUUCCAGCAUAUCCAAGCCUUAGUGGAAUAAUACGUUUUUAAGUGGAAGGCAACUCAUAUUACAUUGAGCCUGCAACUGUGCCCCGCAUUUAGCCUUACAGUCGAGCCGCUUUCGCUCCAGGUGCUCAGGAAAGUUCGGAGACGGAUGUAGCUUCUUAAUAUGGAAGAAAGUUAAGCUUGAUAAAGUCCUUAUAAUGUCUAAUCUUUCUCUGGGUCCUCCGUUUUAGAGUCCUACGGAUAAAUCACCUGGACCUUUCUUUGGCACUUGCAAAAUCUAGUAUUUUACUCCUCCCACAAAGAUGCACAUUUUUCAUUCCCAUGUUCCGUCCGAAGGACUUCUUUAUCCAUUAGUCGUUAAUGAGCACUUGAACCUGUCUUUCUCAUUCGCAUACCGAUCAAGAAAAGCCUCAGCUACUGCUUCCCUCAACGGCUUCUGAUCCUUAACUCAGUCGAGCAGCUUCAACAGCUUUUUAUGGGAAUUCAGACUCUUCCUCUUCCGCCGAGACGGCUUCCGGAUGGAUGUCUUCCCUUGUAUUGUAAGAGCUUUUUUCUGCUUUCUAGUUCACAAGAGGAGGACGAGUGAUUCAGAGUUGUCUUCCUUGUCUAAAUUCCGAAUUCCGAAACUUGAGAAGUUUAGCUAGGUCAAUAUUCUUUGAACCUUUGGUCGUCUAACCUCAGUAAAGCGGCUUCCCACCUCUCCCGAACGGAGCUAGCUAAAGAGUUUAUUCAAUCUACUACCCCUUUCUCAGAUACGACUUAUUUAGGAGCGAACGAUUCUAUCACGCUCGCUAAGAGGAAUUCAAGAACCCCACCACCAGGAAGGGAAUAAGAAGUAGUACUGGUGGUAGCAUUGGAAUGGAUCGCUUUUCCCGAAUGGAUAAGUCUCGCUUUCUCUUUCAUCCACUUGGGCACGACGACGAAGAUCUAGAGAAAGAUCGGAUCGUUCAUUCAAUUCUAUACGUUAUUCGCGAAUUGGCUUUUCACGCGUAGAAGGACGGAGAAGGCCUUUCAUGAAGGGCAGGACUCCGUAGUCGAUUUGUCAAUAUUCUUUGAACCUCCUACGCUCCUGAUUAGUCUUAUUCCUUCUAUUUUAGUAGGCUCCGGAGGCUGCUGAAUGAAUUCAGUCUUUACUUGACUAUUUUUAGAUUACUAAAGUAGGUAGAAGGAGCUAGAAUAUCCCUGUCUUAUGGAACCUCUCGCUUGGAAAAAGAACCUUGCCCUAGGUUCUUUCUUUAGAGGAUAGGCUUUGAUUCUUUUUCUGCAGUCUUUUUUAGGCGGAAGGCUUCGAUCUUGAGUCUGAGUAGGUCUUCCAGUUCUUUCUCUAGCAUAAGUCGUUGAAGUAGGAAGAGAAGUUGAUCUCGCAGAAAGCCGCUCGGGUAGAUCCGCUUUACCCUUUCAAUAGGGAUCCAUCAAUCGUACGCGCGAACAAAGCUAUCCAGGGGUCAGAGCCUCAACCGCAGAAUAAGCAGGGGCGAGGUGCAAAGAAUAUUGCGGAGAGGAGUUGAGCGGCUCGGGGCAGGGGAAUCCGCAGUCACAGUUGCGGCUUAGGCAGGACGCCCACGGAGCGGACGAGUCCUUUCUCUUUGUCUUUCUUUCUUAAGUGGAAGUUCUGGAUAAGUAGCGUCAUGUUCGGGAAUGAGACAAAUCUCUGAAAAAUCAGUUUCCUUAUCACCUUGGAUUUUCCUCGCCUUCUUUCUACCUCGUUAAAAGUCAGGCUUUUUGCCUAUAGCUCGUAUCAACAAUUUCCGAUUUCAGAACAACUAGAGCCACUUCUGCAACAGCUGCUACCGAUCGAACAAGAACUAGAGCUGAAACAAGAACAAAAGCGACUGCCGAUCCCCGGUGGAGCUGCGGAUGAGACUACUUCUGACCUUCCUUCUCCUUCAACCGAAAGAUGAACCGAAAAUCUUCUUUGAACCUCGACUGAAUACUUCAACCGGCCCAAGAGCCUACUAAAAAGAGGGUGCCGAGACAGAUUCCUAUCUUACCGCAACUGAUCUGCCUUCUUCUUUCAGUUACCUAGCGGAGAAUAUAAUACGAACAGAAAGAUCUCAUGAAACUCCUAAGGAGUAUAUCCCCUCUCCCUAUCGCAGCCUCUUAAUCCACCAACAGCAGUUGACUCAAGAGCAGCAGUUAGACUCUUUCUCAUUCCUUUUGUUGUGACCUUAGCGGAACCUAGCCCUUUUUCAUUGAACUCUUUCCCCCUCCUUCAGCAUAAUCUAUAUUGCUCAAGAUUCACCGAAAAUCUUCAACUCAAUUCAUUCAGCCUGUCUUAUGGCGCCUACGCGGUUCAUUCCCCUUAUCAAUGAGACGGUAGAUUCAAUAUUCUUUGAACGUCCUUCGCGGUCUUCGCAACUCAAAUUGCAUUGAGCCUUCUAUUUUUCCUAUUUAGUGGUCCAAAGGGCUCAUCUGGAGCUUGAUUUUAGGAGCGAAAGCGGCUCGCCGACGAUAGGAAAUAGAGGCGGAGGCGCAAUAUUGCGAGAGCCUAACGGUCAAUGAAAUAUGAGAAGAUUACAUUCUUUCUUUUUGAACCGGAGCGGAAUAAAGAAUAGACCUCUCAGUAUCCGUCCGUAGGACUAUCCAUUAGAAAAGUUUGAACAAACUAUGUGAAUUUCGAAAAUCAAAUAGGACAAUGCCUUGCAAUUUCCCGGCUUUUUUGCUUCUUUUUCAUACUUUCUCGGUUUUCUCUAAAUAACGAAAAUUGUCUAAUUUUGACUGAUUUUUCAUGAUUUCUUGCUACUUCCCUAUGGGCAAAACCUAGCAAAAUCAUGUAUUUCCCUCCGCGGAUUCAUCUGAAAUCUAGCUCUUCAAUCUCCCUCUUUCUUUUUCAUUCCCAUUUUUUUCUUCUUUCAUUAUCGUUAAUGAGUUCAUUCUUCAGCACUUUCUCCUAAUUUGUAAACUCGAAAUCUGAAAAGAGCCUUUCUUCUUUUCCGCAACUCAUAUUGCAUUGAGCCUCACUAUGAUCCUAACUAUUCCUUGCUCCUCCGGAGGGAUCAUGACUCUUUGAUUUUAAUGGAUAAACAAGUCCGGAGGACGGGGUCCAUCUGAGUCAGAAACCGCAUCUUUGCAACCUUUGGGAUCAUGACUCUCAAAUUUCUCGCAAUAUUCUUUGCUCCUACAACUUCGGAUAUUGAUCAAAGAAUUAUCUAUUAGAUCCAUUGAAUUUCUGGAAAUAAGGCUCAAAGGAUGGAUAUUGAGAUGAGAUUCUUUCUUUUUGAUUAGUAGGUUUAGAAGCGUAGGAGGACGUAGAAGUCCCAUAAAAAGCCCUUGUUCAUUGAUUGCGCUCUUCUGAACUGAUAUUCGCUUCGCCGCAAUAUUCUUUGCACCGGCUUACGCUUGAUUUUGAAAUAAGCUUCCGUGACACAGCUCUUCUUCUUUUUUCUUCUUCUUCCCUAUUCAUACUCAGCAGCUACGGAUGGGAUGCCUAUUCCUCACCUAGGAGUGGGACGGGUCCAACCCUUCUUAUUCAGUUACCGAUGUUACCGAUAAAACUACAUCUGGGAAUUCAGAAAAAAGAAAUGAAUGAUCUUGAAAUUACCAUGGUGGAAUCAAAGAUGAACAAGAAAGUCAGUAGUUGACCCACUGAUAUAUGGCAUUCAUUCCCAACUCAAUUCACAACGAGCGAAGGAAGAAAGCAUCCCAACCCAACAAAGACAAAGGAUGAAAGAAAGAGAGAUCUCAUCCGAGAUCACAACGAAUGAAAUGGCAUUCCCUAUUUAUCUCAUUCUCUAUUUCUUCAGAGAGUAAUGAGAAAAAUCAUAAGUUCAGAAGAAUCAGAAAGCCGGAGGCUGGGUCAAGCGUAGUGGGAGUUCUUUCCUAGCCGAAUCAUAUCAAUUCCGAUUCCAUCAUCUGAUAGAUUCAAUACUCAUUAGACGGGUGUCAGGGAAUCCAUCCCAAAUAGGAAGGACGAGACCGGAAGCAUCCAUCUUUCUCUUUCAGCUGUGAAGGUGAAAGGGGUUGCAGUCGAUCUUUCUCUUUUUCAGUUGCGUUCGUGCUCCUCUUGCACGGUUCUCGCUAUCCUACUUGUUCAUUAGAAUAUUAUAUUAUUGAAAGAACUUCCCGCUCUGUGGGCUUUUGGGACUGAAGUGACUGAAAGAGCGGAUUCACAGUUCCAUUAGUGAAAGACCCUGUCGAUAGAGUGAGAGUCAAAAGGUCUCGAUAUGAAGACGGGUUUCCUAGGGUGCUCUCUCUUCCCUAUAGUAUUCUACAUCAAAGAGAAAAGAAGAAAGUGCUCUACCUCACCCGGGCAGGGGAAGGGCUAGUUUCAUAACACAUUCGUUAUUGAAGACUCCUAAUCCGACCCUCGUAUCCGCUAUCUGCGCUUCUAUAUCCUCGAUUCUCACUCUUCUUUUCUGAAUUCCCCGCUACGUGGGAGCUCCAUAUCCAUAUUAAUAAUGUCUUGAGGCUAGUCUCUUACUGAGAUAGCUUCCUUCCCUUGCUGGGGAUGGAGAUUCCACCACUAGGUCGGUUCUUAGUUCUACUAAACUAGGUCGCUAACCGAUGCCGGAACUGAGAAUGCUGUCUGAACUUAUUCAAUUAGCGCUACGUGGGCUAAAUCCGAGUAAACAAAGCCUCUCGACCCUACCGAGUAUCUGAGUGAGUCCUUCUUUCUAGCUUCCCUGUAGAGCAUUUCAUCCAAUGCGCCUUUCUUCCUUCCCUUAUUCAGGAAAUUACGUAAUAACAAAGAGGCUUAGCACGGUGGGGAGAUUAAUAUGGAAUUGACUUCUUUUCUUAACUUAAAUAAGCGCUUUUCCACAAGAAAAGAAAGAAGGACUGCGCCUGUCUUAUGGAGCCUCUUACCGGUGCGAGAAGGAUCGGAAGCGAAGCGACUCUUAAGUUAAGGAGCGCAAAUCAACUCCUCCGCUCCUACUCCGACUAGAAACUGAAAGUCGAAAAAGAAGAAAUUCACUCGCUCGGUAAGAAAGCUGAUAAUGGGCAAGAUCUCCGGAAAGGCUCUUAGUAAUUAUUGAGGAAUCCAUAAAGAAAGUUUUAGGAUAGGCGAACCUUCUUGAAGUUUCUCUAAGAAAAAAGACUAAAAACCCACUACUAAACCUACUAUUUCUCAUCAAGCCUAUCCUCUCCUUUACCUUCUUUGAUGGAAGUUUUGGAGGAGUUGAACCCAUGAAUUCACACACAAGCUAAAGAGUCGGGGUCGGUUAAUAUAAUAUGGACCUAAUCUCAACGCAUAUUUCAUUCCGCCUUCGCAUAUUUCAUUCCGCCUCCGUCCGGAGUCCGGAGUCCUACAGAUGAAUCUUCCGGACUAUCCAUAUGGAAGUAGGACCAUCCGUAAUUAACCGAAGUAGGACCAUCCGUAAUUAACCGAAGUAGGACUAUCCAUUAGAAUAGAACUUUGCACCUUCUAUCAAAUUCGUGAAUAUGGAUGAAUGAGUCCUUCGCCUCAAUGAUUUUGGAGGCGCAAUUCAAUAUGCGUUGUUGUACUUAAAACAGUAUUUAUUAGGUCGUCUUCUAAAUCAUUAACACCUUUAGUCUUUACAUAGUUUUUCAAACUGGAGGCACUACAUCAGACUCGUCCUACGCAUUUUAUAGAGUUGUCUUUCUUCUUUCUCUCUUGUUUUACUACGCGGUAAAGAAUCAUCAAAAUUCAUGUAAUAGUCUUUCUUAAUAUGGAUAGUCCGGAGCCUUCGGAGCGGAGGCAAGGAAUAAGACUCCUACUACGGGGAGCGCAAAGCGACAUAGGAGUCCUUCGGACGGGCUAAAAGAAGAACUGCUAUGGGUGCUGCGGAUUCCCCAGCGGGUGGACAAGAGGGGAGGGGCUGUCCCAUUGAAUAAGAGUCAGAAUCCACUAGGGUCACAUCAUCCAUCUCGGGAAGGUAAGAGGGAAGGAAUCUUUGAAGGUUGAAGAGGAUGUGGAACCUUUCAUCUGCAGCAUGAGAUGGAUUGAUUUACGAUGCCUUUCUGGGGAGGCCGUCCCUCUUAAUGCUGAUCAGUCAUCCUCGAGGAUCAGUUGCGGCCUUUCCUUCUAUGGGGUUCUCUUUUUGACUUGGAAAAAGAUAUCUCGCCUAGUCUCGACCUUUAGAGUCAUCUGGACCUUUGUUUUUGGGACUUCUUUAUCCAUAUUCACCCUUUCUUUGCCUUGGCCGUGUAGUGGGGAUCUCUAGCUAUCGAGCUUUCCGAACUCAUACUCAAACCUUUCGCCUCAACUCCUUGGUCUAUAAUGAGGCUUCCCAAGAAUCUCAUUCCGAUUUGUUAACGAAAGACCUAUAAGUACCAGUAAAGGAUCUCCUCUCAUUUUCCUGAAUUAGGAUAAAGCCUAGUACAAUACAAAUCCUGCCCCGGGAACCGGGAAUUAGCAAUCUUUGAAGGGAAGAGAGGAAAGGAGCAUCCCGAUCUCAAGAUCGAAGGAGAGCCAACUGUUUACAGGAAAGGAAGUUGAAAGAGGCAUGGUACGAGAGGAAAGCCUCACGGCCAAUUCAGCUAAGUGUCAAAGACCGUUGACAGCUACUGCUAGUCGCAAACCUUCUCUUCCGAAAGAACCUAUUUGCCCACUGACUUUCAGCUCUGUAAAAGAACCCAUCCUCUUAUCAUUUCCUCUUCCUAUUUCUUAUUUCUUAGAAUGAAUAUUUCUUGAUGCACCUAUGUAUGCUAUGGAUUCAGAAAAGAAAGGAUGAAGAGAAUCUGCGAAUGAAAGUGAAAGAAGAAUUUACUCAUUAACGAGAAUUCACUGAUUAAGAAGAAUCCACAGUCCGAAGGCUCAAUGUAAUAUGAUUUUCCGCUUUGUUUUUCCGAAGGACCAAGCUUUUUUUACCGCUCGCAAGUCAAAUUCUCUAAUGGAUAGGCCUCAGCUUGAUUUCUGUUAGAAGGUGGGCUUUCUUCUUCUCAAAUACUUUGAGCCUCGGACUAUUUCUCAAUCUUAGACCGAUAAAAGAUCUUUUUUGACUGAUUUUUUCUCUUUGUCUUUCUGCCUCUUUCUCUCCAACUCACUCGAGCCGCUUCGGUCCUCUCCCUCUAUCGGCGGCGAGCCGCUUUCGCUCCUCUCCUUACAGUCGAGUUCCUUCUAUCCUCUGGUCGAGUGGCUACGCUCCUCUCACCCAGCGCAGUGAUAGUACGGACUUUCUUUCUGGUUUGUGACUCUUUUCAAGCAAUAAGAAGAAUUACCGCUACGUGGCUUUCUUUGUGGCUUUUUCUUACUCCAGACAAGAUGGGUACAGUGGCUCGACUUUAUAUUAACUAUCGUCUUCUCAAAUUCCCUAAUGGAUAGUCCUUCGGACCUGUCUUAUGGAUCCUUUGAUUCUUGUUCACUAAGAGUUCUUUCUUCAAGAGUCAGAUCGGUGCCAUGAGGGAAUGCUAAUUGAAUAGAGAUUCGGCUUAGUAAGCCUUUCCUCGUUCGCUCCUCGUACCUUUACAUCUUCCUAUGAUUGGUUAUGCGAGCAGGCCCCUUCCUGUUUACUAAGUGGUCGCCUUGUCUUAUACUUUGAGACUUUGUUGACUCUCUUUGAAUGAGUUCUAAGGUUGGCGGGAGCUCUUCCCUCCCCUUACCUGAUUUUUCAAGAAAGGGCUGAAAGAAAAGAAAUCUCUCGAAAGAAAGAAGAGGGUACCGUGGAAGAUGUAAAGACAAUAAGCAAGGGGCACUAGCUGGUAGCGGGCUCUUAAGGGUUACCAUCAAAAAUCACUAUCCUCCACUCCUAUUGAAGACAGAAAACCUGCCCGAUUGGGAGAGGGAUGAAAUAGCUCGACCGUAGGGAGAGGGAUGAAAUAGCUCGACCGUAGGGAGAGGGAUUCUUCUUUCUUCUUUAUAGUAGGUUUGUUUAGAAGAAGACUCCCAGAAAGAGAAAGCCUAGCGAAGGGAAGCGACUGGAAAGGAGUGCAGAGUGCAAGUGCAGGAAAUAGCUUUCUUUGAAAGGAUGGGAAAUCGAGGUAGUCCUUUGCUUAAGACAAUGGUUGAGUACAAAGACGAAUACCUUCUCCUCUUACCGGUAAGCAUCUCUUUUCUUAAUUGGCCUAUAACCACCCCUUGUUCAUUGAGGCGGGAGAGAAAGCACUCCACCUCUUCGGGAGAGAGAGCACCAAAAGCGAAAGCGGCUCGACUUAUAGGAGAACAAGCGAAAGCGGCAGUUCGUCUUCUUGAAAAAGGAGAAUUGGUAAGCUCUUUCAUUCGAUCGUCACACCAGUCCGGAGUCAAAUAUUAGUGGAAAACAAAGGUCCAGGUGACUCUACCCUAUUUAUUGAGACCCCACUCCGCGGUUCAAUUCAAUAUUCAAUAUGAAAGGAGCGGGAUCCUUCCUCUUUAUAGUAGAUUUGGAAGAGAGCAGAACUAUCCACUGAAAGUAGAAAAGGUCAAUGGAAGUCCUCUUCCUUAAAGACUUUUUAGUAGGUUCUUUCAAUAUUCUUUGAACCUCCGGCUUUCCCCUUUCUAGUAGAAUAAUAGGAUAUUUGAGUAGAACUCCUCCGCUCCUACUCCGACUAUCCACUGAAUGUGACAAGAGAACUCCAGAAGAUAGGCUUUCCCCUUUCUAGUAGAAUAAUAGGAUAUUGGAAGUUUCAGUUCGGAAUGGAUCUCGCAAUAUUCUUUGCGCCUUCUAUAUAUUCUUUGCACCUCUGAAUUUCAUGCGCUUCCCUUCUCAUAUUUCAUGGAACCUUAUUGCAGACUUCACAUUCUACUUUGUCUCUUCUUUCUUUGUAUGUAAUUUAAUAGUCUUUGUCAUUUGCAGCCCUCCUUUUGAGUCUGUUCAACUCAUCCUGGAGCUUUAUUUUGAAUUGACUUUCUUCCUCUUAUCUUAUUCUACAACUGAUGAAUUUCACGACUCAAUGAAUUCAGCCUCCUUCUAAGAAAAAAGCCUAGCCCAAAAGUCACUAAAAAAGACUCAAGAAUAUCCCUGUCUUAUGGCGCCUCACAGUCCAUUCAAAGAAGCCCACGGUAAAGAAGUGAGUUACUCAACUCUGAAUCACGAUACGGAGCGGUGCGAGUCAGCUCUUCCCUUGAUGCUGAGGAAGCUGCAGCUGCAGGUGCAGCUCUUUCUUCAGUUUAAGUUCUUGUCCUUGCUUUAAGUGGUUGAAGUAGAGGAUGCGUCAUCCGUUCUUCGAUCGAUCGGAUCGCUAGAUCGUCAGGCUAAAAUCAAGCCUUCUUUCUUCAUUGAUUGACUUUUCCAAACUAGUUUUCUUCUCGAAUUGACUACUCCUAUUCUUUUCAAAGUCAGAGCUCUCUCGCAAUAUUCUUUGCGCCUUCAAAGAAAGGUCCAGGUGACUAUCCGCAUUAACAUUAGAUUGGACCGUAUUUAUUAACAAGCAAGGGAAGGAUGUAGCGAACGAUGUAGCGUUUACGUUUAGGCCCAGAAUCAGAAGAUCAAGAAGCUGCCGAGGGGGGUCUUGAAUAUUGAGCUGCGGGAAGGACUUGUAGAGUUGCUCAGCCUGCGAGACGGGUGUCGGAAGAGGAGCCCACGUAGCGGUGAAAGGGCUGUAGCCGUUGCUGCGGAUAGGUCUUCUUUUUUCAUUCUUAUCGUUUUAGUCAUCCAUCCGUAAGCAUGAGUCUGAGUCUAGAGGAAGAAGCCCCCAACGGAAUGAGCAACCGCGGAGUGGGCAUCGGGUAUCUAAGGAUGAUUUCUGAACAUAUGAAGUAAUUACCGGAUCGGGGACGGACGGACGCGCCUCCCACUAGAUCUCUUGGCUUUCAACUCCCAAUGUCUGACACUUCCUUUUUCCCGGAACAAACCGAAGAUGAAGAAGGGGUCUGGCUUCUUUCUAUCUCUUUUUUUGAUGAGACCUCUCCCGCUCCGUGGGCAUUGAACCGAAGGUGCAAAGAAUAUUGCGGCUAUUCUAAUAGAUGUUCGAUUGGGAAUCUUUGCUUUCUGCCUUCAUUGUAUUCUAUUCUUUUAUCGUUUUUCAAUGAAUUGAGAAUCCUUUGUUUGCGGUCUUUAUCGAUGCUAGUGCAAAUAUCGUCCUAUUGAGUGACUGCCUAAGAAAGAGAAGAUUCAGUUUGUGAUCCACUCAUUCAGAAGAAGCAUUCCAAACUAAUGAAAGAGGAAAGUCAACAUCGGGAAGUGGACGACCCAAAGCAGAGGCGACCCGCAGAGGCAAGGGCAUUCGAUCUUGAGGCCCACUACGCGCUUUCGGCUGGAUAAGUUCGUCUUGGUAAGCUGAAAGGCACUCGUCGGCAAAAAGCCUAAUCUUUCACUCUUCAUAUCACAUGGGAAAUACGUGGUCAAUCUCAAUCCGGGUUAAAUGCCUUACCCGAGGGGCACUACUGGAGAGCACUUUGGGCCGUAGAAGGUUUUUAUGAUUUACUUGACUAUUAAAAGAUUACUAUCUACGAAGGAGCAGUCUUCUUUCUCUUUGUCUUUCCGCCUCUUUCACACUUCUCCAACUCACUCUUUCUCCUCGGCCGGAACAACUACCGCCACUGCCUCCUUAUCAGCUGCAACUGCAAGGGCCCGCCCUAUCCUAAACAGUUCAUCCCAUAAGAGAGAUAGAUAGUAUUUCAGAGAACAAACUGGAUGACGUGGGAAAGGGUGGUUGAUCCCCUUUCCCCCUCUUGUGGCGUCAACGACCCUAUCUUAGUCUGCUUCGCUCCUCUGCUGGUAUCAACUAAAGGAGGAUUCGCCCUACAAUAUCCCUGUCUUAUGGAUCCUCAGACGAAAGAAAAAGACUACUUUCAGAAAAAAGGGUAGAUUCUUCAUUCAUGAAAGGCAUAUUUCAUUGCGCCUCCUUCGGUUCAAUUCCCACGCCAAAAAGAAAGGUCCAGAUGACUCUUCCUUGCCGUAGGGUCGACUUCAUCCAUUUUCUUUCUUAUACUUUUGAAGAAAAAUUCUCAUCAUAAUAAGUAAGGGCUUUGCCCUAACAACAGCAUCCCUUCUUCUUACUGGCUUUCUCUUUCUUUUCUCUACUAAGAGUAGGCGUUGGAAACGACACAUCCUAUCCUAGGAGAUUCAUACUCUCAUUCUGAUUCACGAAAGAAAGAAAGGGAAAGGGCACGAGAGCAGGAAGCAUCACAAAGAGAAAAGGUUCGACGCAAACAGAUAGGUUGUGGGACUAAUAUUCAAUCUCCUCCUUCUCCGACAUCCCUUUCACAAUCCCAGUCAAAUCGAAAGGCGGCCCCACGGAGCGGAAAGAGAUCUCAUGAUCUAUAAUGCAAGCAGAGAGCCACUUCUGAAACUGAAACUCCAAGAUCUAAUUCCCUGUUGUCUAACUCCAACUCAGCCGCAACUGAAAGACCCGUCUUAUUGAGGAAUUCCCCCUGAGAACAGUGACUCAUGAACUCCUAACCCGCUCGAGUGGCUUUUUAUUGGAUUGUUCCUGCGCUUUCUUUCUUCCUAUAUAGGCGGAUAACCUAUCCUACUAAGACUUCCGCCCCCUCUCCUUCUCGUGAUCGUACUUAUUCCUAUCUUAUGAAAUUACUUCAACUAUAUGAUACCCGCUCGUAAGUAAACUAAGUCAACUCCUUCGCGCCGAUACAGAAAGAGAGAAAAAAGACAAAAGAGAUGACUGAAGCUUAAGAGGUCUUUGCCCUCUCGUAAGAAGACUUGAGUGCCUUCGCCCCUUUCUAUCUCUUCCUAUUCUGAAACUCUUAUGAAUGUGAAUGCAAUACCUGAAUAAGAUUUGAGACUAGGGAAAGCCUGAAUGAGACUGGGCCGGGAGCUUGUAGGUCCAUUUGCUUAAGACAUGAGGAUUGUACAAAUAGACUCAGAUCUCGCCCAUGGAUUGUCUCACUCCGAUCAUUCUUUGAGCCUUUAUAUCCCGACUGAUUUAUGGAAUAUAGACUUUCCUUGGCCUUCCUCUUCUUCUUGAGUGAAUCGGAAAUUCUUCUUUCUUCUAGCCCUAUUUAUUUAUGGAUGUUCAUUGAGGCGGAGGACUCAUUCAUUGAUCUUUUUUUAUGGGUCUCACUAUCAUUCCCUGUCUAAGGAAACAUCGACUGCUUUUGUGACUCAUUCGGAGUUACUCUUUUUCUAGCUUCUUCGGAAACUGAGAUGGCGUCCGUCCUACUCUCUUCUUGCUUGAAUUCUGAAAGAAUGGUUGGUUGGUGACCGCUUCGAGAGAGAGAUGGAAUUUCUUACUCUUGAAGGUGCUCUACCCUUUUUUCCUUGUUGAGAUAUUCCACCAUUCUGAUGGUCCCCCGGCUCCUAAUUGAGUUCGAGAAGAUAGGAGAUGCAAAUUGUCCGAGGUUAAGCUGCUGAAAGACAAAGAAUUUCCUUUCAAAGAAUGAAUGAAAGGAAGACCUUACCGAGUGCCGUUGCAGGAUAAGUUCUUUGCAAGAAGGAGACCAACUGCCCGAACAAGUUCCAUAAAUCAGUCCUUCAAAGUAAUAGCUAUUAAGACUCAUUCCCCGUCACCUGUCCCCUUAUAAUUGUUCUUUGCGCCUUCGGUCUUAAGACUCCUUCAAAUUUCAGGCAAAGAAUAUUGCGUGGGAAUUGGAGUGCAGAGUGCAAAGAAGACGGAAAAGGAGAAGUGCAAGUUCAAUCAGACGAUCAUCCUCCUUCUCCGGGCUGGGUCGGAGCUAUCAAAAAGAAUAAGUAGGGCGCGGUCUGGGUAGAUAUAUGCUUUCCUCUAACCUCAGAAGCUCUAUUUAGGUCAAGCCUUAAAGUAGGAUCGACCGGAUUUGAAUGUUUUGAAUAGUCUAUCUAAAUCCUAAAAUCAGGCUAUUUCCUAAUAUGGAAUAUCUCGAACGAAAUAGGGCAGUGCCAUAAGACCUCUCCCUCGGAAACAGAUAAUUCCGCUAAGCCAGGAGAUUCCUCUCUUUCAAGGGAAGUAGACGCUCCAGUAGAGGCCAUACGUAGCCGAAAAAAGACAACGAGAGGAUCAUCAAGGAAAGACCUUUAUCUUCUAGUUCGCUCGGAAAGCUCUUUUUCUAAAUCAUGGUAGCGAGAUAUGUCAAUCAAAGUCAAUACAGAAAUCGGCUUAGGCCUUGUUGGUAUCGCGGUUGCAGGCUAGGCUGUGGCCCUUCAAGGUAAGUAGAAAAAGAGAAGAGACGGAUUCCGUUCUUAUUCAUUCGAUGCGGAAAGACUUGAACCCGUGACCCGCUCCAGGCCUCGCUCCCGAUUGAGGGGUUACCCAUUCGGUUGACUCUUAACGGAAUAACUCAUUUGGUUCAACUUCUAAUUCCAAGUCAGACUUCCCAAGAAGAUGACUCUUCGUCUUUCGCUUUCAGGUACCUUUCUUCUCGUGCAAGAUCUUACUCAUUAGUUAUUCAAUGGAGGAAUCAGGAGUCGAGCUACUUCCAACCAUAUCUACUUGGCCGACGACCAUCUGCUUUCGGGGCGGGUCUUUGACGGGUUUCCGGGGGAAUAAAAAGAAGGAAGUUUUCCAUGAAAUCAAAGUCAAUUGGGACAUAAGCCUUUUCAGGCGAUACUGAAAGAAGAAAUCCAGCUACUUAAGAAAGAAGAAAGGCAACCGCGUAGUGGGUCACACCAGCUCCCAAAUUAGCUGCUCUAUAUAAGAUAAAGAAUGCAAUUCUUCACUCACUUUAGUCACUCAUAAUAGACUGGGAGGAGAGGAAAGGUUCUAUCUAUCGGGAGAUAGUGCUUUCUAAGAAGAAUCUGGCUACUUAAGAAAGAAGAAAGGCAACCUACUAAGCAGGUCUCAGCGUAAACAGCGGGGAUGGUGCGUGCGCGCCCUCUACUAAGGCCCUGUCGAGGAACCUCAUUCUUCCUUUUUCUAGUCCUCUCAACUGAAGACGGAGGAUAUAGGGCCUUGUGAUUCAGCAGAGGUACGGAGUAGUGUGAGAGAAUCAAAGUUCCCCUCGAGCUAGCAUUAUCAUUCCUCUUGUCCUUGUGGAGGUAUGGAAUUGCGUGCCUGCCUUUGGGGUUGGGGCAUAGACCGAUCGGCGAAUGAGAGGUUCGUGAAUAUGGAUGAAUGAGUCAUCUGGACCUUUGUUUAUGACGCGCUUUCACUCUAAAUCAAGGGGAAAUACGUGUCAAUCGUUACUCGGAUAAAGCCAGGCUUUUUGCCUCAGUCUCAUUCAUGGAUGAAACCCCUAGAACUGCAGGUCGAAAGAAAAGAGAUGAAAGAAAGGCCUGUGAAAGGAACUCCUCAACCGCGUCAAGGAGUCUGACCUUGAUUCAGAGUUUCCUUCUACAGUCACUGAAAAACCGUGGGAAUAAUCAACCUACUAAAUACUAAAAGAAGAAAAAAAGCUUUGUAGAGAGAGAGGAGGGAGUGCAAAGAAGACGUAGAAGUCUGUAGCUUUCAGUUCCAUGAACGAGUCCAUUUUUCUGAUUUUCAAAGACUAUGUAAAAGAUUAAUAUCUGGUUUUUAGGAUUGAGAUCAAUUAUGAAUUUCUGAUUUACUUGACUAUGAAAAAGAUUAAUAUCGGAGGCUGAGUCCAAAUCAAGGGAUUUUGCAAGAAAAUGUCCUGCCACCUAACUAAGAAGUGGCUGAAAAGAGCUUCAAAGUGGGGGGCGAAAGCAAAGAACCAUGCUCUCCCCCAAGAGGGGUGUCGGAAGAGGAGUUAGGCAGGCCAUCCCAGAUCUUGUGUCCCAUCCCUUGCCCCAGUUCUUGUUGUUGACGCCCUUGUCGCAGCUCUUUCUUUCCUCGCCCACAGAGCGGUGUAGAAGGAGACCUCAUCUCUUUCCUAACGCCUUGCUUCUUUCUUCAUUUAUUGACUCCCAACGUGGACAAGGAACUCCUCUGACCCCUCUUUACGGAUUCAAACCGUCCUCCAUUUUCAAAGGAAGAAAGUCAACUUGACCUACUACAGAGGGACGCCUCAAGCGCGAAGAUAGCAAAGUAGGUCCGUCUUACAAGUCUUCUUAGAAGAUCUUUCACGAGAAAGUAUCGGCCCUCGAGAGCAAAGGUUUCGGAAUCUCCAUCUCUGGCUUCUGCGGUUCAUAAGUGGAAAUCUUUCUAUUGAAAUAGAAAAUAGAUGAAAAUCAAAGCUUUCCCGCUUAUAAAGCAGAAGCUAGACAUGGGACAAGAACGAUCGUGAAACCCACGGAUUCAAUCUUCUUUGAACCUUAUUUAUUGUCUGAAUUUGGUCUUAGUGUGACGUACGCUCGACCAUAAUGAAGCUUGAUAGGUUAGCGCCCAGCCGAAGGGUACUCUGAUCGGAACUAAAGUAGCGAGAAGUCUGACUCAAGGGAACUGAAAAAGCUCAAGCAAGAUCCAGUCGUAUGAAAAGAAUGGUACGAUCUCCUUCAUUAUAGAUCGAUAGGGAGAUCGUCAGGCUGUCGGCGAGCCUUAUAACGAGAUUCACUGGGAUUCUUCCAGUACAAAGAGUGAAAUGCCAGGCGAUAGGCCAGAUCUCUCAUUCGCCGAAGCAUGGAUUUCUCAUCCUAGCACAGGAGAAAUUUUCCACAACGACUGCAGGAACAGAGCCCUCAACGGGGACGGAGACAGCAGGCUAAACUUCCCUUGAUGGCAAGGACAGAUCCCGCUCUUGGUCUAAGAAUGAAAUAGCAUAAACUUCUCUUCCCGCUCCGUGGGCCUUCCCUAAUAGUCAUUCUUUGAGGUCCGUCCUAUUAACCUGUCCUCCGGACUGGUCUCGCUCCUUCACACCUCUCUUAUUGAGUUAAUUGGGUAUUUCCUCUAUAGUCAAUUAGGAAUCGGAAAUAGUGAGAUUCUAGCUUUCCAGACUGAUUCAGAUUGGAGUGACUCUCCGGCUUGCUCUGAGGCUGCCGAUCUACUCAACUGUGAGAUUUUCAAUGGGAAAGCGGGCAUAACCUGGUCCUUCUCCCCUAACCUAUGAUCAUUGUUCUAGCUGGUUCUCGGAAAUCUGACUCUGGUUCUUCCCUUUGCCCAGAAACUCCACCAGGAAGAGAGAAAGUCAAGAUCUCAUUCCGAUUCCUCUCUGGCUGCCCCUCUUUUCUGGGCCAAGGAUUAGGAAGGGAGUUCUAGUUCUUCCUAUUAAUAGGACAAUCAGUUCCUUUCCCGAUUGACUUCCGUAACCCUACUUAUUUGUUCUAGCUUGAGGCGGCCGGCCAAGGAACCUAUUCUAAGCGAAAGAGUCUUAUCUUGAUUUAUUUCAUAAUGCUAAAUGCUCCGAAUCUAGUAAUAUGGAUAAAUAAGGGUCAGGACGUCUUGAUGAUUUUCAAAGAAAGACAAGAGAGAAAGAAGAAAGACAAGUCCUUCUACGCGGCAAGGAAUGAAGGAGUCCUUUUUAUGAUAGUCAAAAACUAUGUAAAAGAUGUGAAUGAGAGGAGUUAUUUAGUGGAAUAAGACUCGUCCGGAGUCCGGAGUCCUACGUGCCAAAGAAAGGUCCAGGGUCCUACGUCCGCAGGGCCAAAGAAAGGUCCAGGGUCCGGAGGAUUUAUCCGUAGGACUAUCCAUUAGAAGCAGUCCGCAGGAUUUAUCCGGAGGACCAUCAAAGAAAGGUCCAGGUGAUUUAUCCGUAGGACCAUCCAUAUGGAAGGAAGUAGUCCGGAGUCCGGAGGAUUCUUAUCCGUAGGACUAUCCAUAUGGAAGUAGGACCAUCCGUAAUUAACCGAAGUAGGACCAUCCGUAAUUAACAGAAGUAGUCCGGAGUCCGGAGGAUUUAUCCGUAGGACCAUCCAUAUGGAGGGAAGUAGGACUAUCCAUUAGAAGGGCUGACUUUGGGCCUCCGUAGCUUAAUAUGGGACUAUGAACCAUAUUUUAGAUUAGAACUCCUCUUCUCAAUAUUCUUUCUCCGCAAUAUUCUUUGCUUUUCUCACGCAAGUCAAAUUCUCUAAUGGAUAGGCCUCCGCUAGGCUGAAUUCAAUAUUCUCAAAAGUCUUCCAGGAUAUAAUAGCUUUUUUUUGGAAUGGAAUACUCCUUUUUAGUGGACGCUACUUGAUUUGAUUAUGGGGGGAUGAGACUGAUUUAUCCAUAUUCAGUAAAUAGGAGCACGUAGAAGGCGCAAAGAAUUUGCGAAGAAGGACUAUCCAUAUUAACCCAGAGAAGAAUAUUGAAUCUACCUUUUCAAAAAGCUCCGAACGUUACACUCGCCACUAAAAUCAAAAAAGAAGGACUUUCUCAUUUCCGACUACUGAUUUUGAACUCGAAAGAAAGAGAGUGGUGCGGCGGACGAAGUGAAGGUAGGAUGAAGAGGAGUAUGAGUUCUUUGUUUAGAACUGGUGCGCAGUUCCCACGGGAAGGCUAAGCCUCACUCACCCUUUUUACGAGAAAGAGGGAGAAAGAGAGAGAUACUGUAAGUUGACUCUUCAUUCUCAUUCUUUGAAUUGACUUUUCUUCUUAGCUUUCUUAUCUCUUAUUAUAUUAUUAAUGAAGUAACUAUCAAUCGCCGUCUUCUUGUAUUAUCUUCUUAUUUCUUGAGAGGUGCGAAGAAAUCUCAAGUGGUUCGUAAGAAAGAGCCCCAUACCAUAAAAAAGGGGGGAUAAUAGGUAUCAGCCUCAGAGGUGACCUGCGCGACCUCUCUCAUUAGCCUCUCUUUCCGCUGCAGUCCUUCUUCGUCUUCGUCUUGCAGAAUUGUCCCAGACCAGUGCUUUAUCUAGCUUUAGUUGCUGGAUUUCUUGCUUAGUUUCGGGAAUAUGAGCUCGAUCCAGAGAUCCUUUUUUGAUGAAAGAUCUAAAGCAUAUUGAAAUAGAAAGGAUUGAUCAAAGGCGCUUUAGGAAAGAGCUUACCGAUCAAUGGACGAGGCGCGACUUCUCUUUCUGAAACAUAAGCAGCCUCUGCGAGAACUAUGGCUACAGCAGCAAAAGAAAGGGAUGCAAGAAGAGGUGGUCGAGCCUGAACUUCCCCAGGAGGGAGGGGCAAGGGAAAGAACUCCUCGCGCUAGGUCGAUUUGCGUGCGUGGAUCAUGUGCCAAUGCCCCAAGGUCCAUCUUCUGCUUGUCUAGCCUCUUCAGACUAAGUACCUUUCAAUCCGGCCGGUUGAAGCACGUGGAAAGUGUGCCCGGGCACUGUCAAAUCGAGUCUUUUCGCAAGAUGGGGAUGGCUCCGUCCUCCGCUUUCUUCCUUUCAUCUUUUCAUCAGAAAAUAUCCUCUUAUGAUACUCAAACUACAAUAUCCCUGUCUUAUAGAGCCUUGUUCAUUGAGGUCCUCUAGAACCUACUCAAAAAAGAAGGAAGAAUUUCAUGCUUUCCAUGCCAUGUCCUUUAACUUCCUUGAACUGCAUUCCCAUUAUUUUCUCAUCUGCACCCUUUAGUCCUAUAAAAAGAACUAAGAAGAAAGCGCAACUUCGAUUUUGAUGCCUUUCAUCCGCUACUUUCAUCCUAUAUAUUCCCACGGGGCGGUAAGAAUAGGGCUUUCUUUCUUUAUAAUAGCUUUUUUUGGAAUUCAAUAUUUCAGACUCGUCCUUUUUUUUUCGCAAUAUUCUUUGUGGUCCGAAGCCUGAAUUAUCGAAUAUUGCGUGGAAAGAAUAUCCUUUUUCUAUUGAUGACUCGCGGGCGCAGUUAAGGAAAAAUAGCAUUUAAUAAGGGCUCAAAGUAAAGACCAAAUACAACCUCUGCGGUCAGUCCUUCGGACCAGGUGCGCGAGUAAAUCAAAGAAAAGAUGCGCAUAUUGCUAUUUCCCCCUCCGCGGUGCCAUAAGACAGGUCCGAAGUCCUCGCAAUAUUCUUUGCGCCUGUCUGUCCUGAGGACGGGGAAUCUUGAGAGUUGCGUGAGUUGCGUGAGAAAGAAGACUGAUGCUUGAAGGAAAAGCUUGAAGUACAGCAGCCCGGAGCUAAGAUAAAGCGAGACAUCCAGAGGGUUCUCAGACGCGAGACAGAGCUUCAGGUUCUCAUACGACCUUAAUAUGGAUAAAAAUCAGUCCCACUAUUUCAAAAGAAAGGUCAAGAUGACAUUCUUGAUUUUUGCUAGUCGCAAUAAGACAGGUCCUCCUUCGGUUAAUUACGGAUAGUCCUACUUCUGUUAAUUACGGAUGGUCCUACGGAUAAAUCACCUGGACCUUUCUUUGGCCCUGCGGACUCCGGACUCCGGACUACUUCCAUAUGGAUAGUCCUCCGGAUAAAUCCUGCGGACUGCUUCGGUUAAUUACGGAUGGUCCUACGGAUAAAUCCUCCGGACUACUUCCAUAUGGAUAGUCCUACUUCCCUCCAUAUGGAUGGUCCUACGGAUAAAUCCUCCGGACGUAGGAUAAAUCCUGCGGACUCCGGACUCCGGACCCUGGACCUUUCUUUGGCACUCCGGACCUGUCUUAUGGCACCGCUACGUGGGUAGAAAGCCGAGUCUAUCUGCACCCGCGCCUGAUUUUUCUUCUUCGCGCCUUCGGACAGGUCUCGUCUUUGUUCAUUGAUUCUUCCUACCAAGAACAUCGAUCAGUCCCUAGGGUUAUAUUUCUUACUUGAUGAUGGAAGGCUUGAAGCCUCAUUACCUGGAGUUGACUCCCUUGAAGCUACUAUAGAUGCUUCCGUUGAAUCUUCUGAACCUGGGGUUUAUGGUAUUUCCCUUAUCCUUUUACUCGUAAGCUUUCCUUUCGCCCUAGGCGAAGGCUACGUGGCUUUCUUUCUUUGUGUCUAGUAAGACUGAAUAUGGACCUAAUGGAUAGUCCCCUUAUAAAAAACGCCACUUUUCUAGGGGCUCAAAGAAUUAUGCGAAGGUUCAGCUUCAUUCCUAUGAACUUUUCAUUGAUUGCACUCCUUCUAUAUAUUAUAUUCUUUGCACCUCUCCAUUUCAUGCUCCUCAAAU
rnacentral:lncRNA from 1 species